UACGUAGGGGGCGAGCGUUGUCCGGAUUCAUUGGGCGUAAAGAGCUCGUAGGCGGCUUGGCAAGUCGGGUGUGAAAACUUCAGGCUCAACCUGGAGCGGCCACUCGAUACUGCCAUGGCUUGAGUCCGGUAGGGGACCACGGAAUUCCUGGUGUAGCGGUGAAAUGCGCAGAUAUCAGGAGGAACACCGGUGGCGAAGGCGGCUACCUGGACAGAAACUGACGCUGAGGCGCGAAAGCUAGGGGAGCAAACAGG
rnacentral:rRNA from 1 species